rnacentral:lncRNA from 1 species
AAAAAAAUACGCCCGUUUUUAUUCAUCAUGUUCAUUAAAUGCUAAAUAAUUAUGUUGGAAAUUUUCGUUUUUAAUAGCAAAAAAGUGGAGAAGACUAUUUUUUAAAUCCAGAUACGGCCAGAAUUUUUGUUUAAGGCAAGAAUCAGAGUCAUUUUUUUUCUCUCAAAUAUCUCAGACUGCCUCCUCAAAUCAAAUGCUUCGUACCUGAGACUUGAAAUCUUUCUAAUACUGACUGGGGAUCCUUAUUCAACUUUUUUAUUUAUAAAAUAUAAAAUAGGCUGGGGCAUUUGGGGUUAGACAUGUUUUCGUAUGUAAAUAAUAUUGUGGAACUUUUUUUUCAUGAGAGUAUAAUAGUCUAUAGAGUAUUUACUAUUACUUUCUUUUUGGUGGAAUAGUGAAACAGAAGUCAAUACGUUCUUGCUCAAUCCUGUGUCGCUUUGAAGGUGUCCUGAUUGUCAUGUCAUCCUCAGCCUAAGCAAUGUGUAUUACUGUAAUUUGAAUUUCAAAAUGACCGAGUGACGUUUUUUCAACGCACUGGUCAACUCCACCAUAACAAAGCACAUGACUUUGACAGUCAGUAAAUACCAGCGAAAAAUAUCUUCAUAAGUAAAGAAUUGUCGUAUAUAAAUUAAAUACUCGGGAAAUGGCAAAGUUCACGAAGUCUAGUCUGAUUAAUCAUUUUACAAAAAAAAAAAAAAAAAAGUCCGAGCAAAGGGGGGGCGUACGCCCUCUACGCCCCCCCCUGAAUCCGCCACUG